GAUUUGUCCAUGCAGUUUUCUUGGCAUAAUACAGAAGUGGUUUGCCAUUGCCUUCUUCUGGGAUGUUUAUCGAUGUCCUCAUCUAGAUCCGCACUGUUCUGUGGAAACGGGGGUACCUCGAGAAAGAUGUGGCUCUUCGCCACGCAAUGCGGUCUUAGUAAAGGAGUGGCUAGGACUCAGAACAGAGAUGAAACGCAUCACCUUACCCUGGUCUAAGACCUUCCCCCCUGUAUAAACUUAGGUGACAUCAACUCUCUUCUAUUAUUAAUGCAGUUUCUUAAAAAUUCUCAUCAUGAAUGAUUCAACAGUUAUCUAGUAAGAUUCAAGGUCAUAGAUACUGACUAUUGUUAUUGUACAUCUGAUGACCCAGAUAAUAUAUAGUAUAUCAUAUCAUAUCAAUGAUAGUAACCUUUUUAAUAGAAAGCAUUCAAAGCAAGUUAUAAUCAAAGAAAGACACAUCGCAUCAAGAAUCUGUGGAGAAACUUUUAUCGUAAAGCACCUUUAAGGUCUACUAAGGCACUCUUCAACAAUACAUAUGACCAAAUUAUAUUCAAAUACUUUUUAAUAUAAUUUGGUCGUAUUACUGAGGAAUGCCUUAGUAGGGGAUGAAACUGCUUUUUUAAAGUAAAAGGUUUUCUACAUUUCUUGGUAUGAUGUGUCUUUUUUUAUUAUAGCCUGCUUUGAAACAUUUUCAUUUGAAUUUUAUUAGAAAACAGCAUACCAAUCAGUACACUGUUUUCUAAUAACAAUGUAAUUAUCU
rnacentral:lncRNA from 1 species